ACCCUUUUUAGUUCAGUCUGAAAUAACUAUUAAAUUCUAGUUGAGAUGCAUCCAUAUGACAAAUAUUACUGGUUCUCCUGUUAUUUCCAAAAUUUGAACACGCGCCACUAAAUUCCACAUGCCAGUGGCCCUUCCAUAAAAUGACGUAUGCUCAGGAAUGCCGCCACGCCACACCUCUCUGUUUACACCUGACUGCACGUGCUGUCAACCAUCCUGACAGGAAUCGAUAGAGUGUACGUUCUUUCUCGAAUAUUUUUUUAACAACAUGCCCGAGCGGUGCGUUGCAGGAUACUGCUCAAACACCAGGGAGAGCGGUUUCACACUGCAUCGCUUUCCAAAAGACCCUGAAUUGAACUUGCUGUGGACUCGCAGGACGAGAACUGAUCCCAAAGGAACACCGUGGAAGCCAAGCUCUGUACUGUGUUCUGCACAUUUUCUGGAUAAAUGUUACGACUCGACCCCGGCUCUGAAGGAGCAACUUGGAAUUGAUGUUCGUCUGAAGAGGGUUUCGCGGCCCAAAUCAGUGCUGAGCAUAUUCCCUCGGGGGACAAGCUCGAGGGGGGCGAGCGGCACCGACGCCAGCUGCAGGGGGUCUCGUGCUCUGGAGAAAAGGCAGCGGCUGGAGAUACUCCAGGAAUGCCAGUCUGAGUAGGCCUAUGUUGCUGCAGAGGAAAGAGAUGGCUUCACUGCUGACGGGGUCCCAUCAAUUGAUGUGUCAAGAAGAAGUUGCAGAGCCUUGGUCAAACCAGAGGUUGCCAGGAUGUCAAACCCUGGGUGGGAAGUAUAAUAAACCAUCUGUACUGGGCUGUGGUCUCGACGCCUCCUGACAAUGUUCAACUUGUGGUGGACAAAUGGACAUCAGUUAUGGAUCACAUCCACAACAGGCAUACCGGAUUCGAGGGACUGUUCUCUUCUUGUGCACACAGAGUCUUGGAAGGCAGGGAACAGCCUGUGUCACUUUUCAUACAAAGGGAUGGAGAGCAGGCUAUGCUGAAGAGCUGAUGCGGAUGGUGGAGGCCAUGUGUCGAGUUGAGGACUACAGCUGUGAUGACUUUGACAUUCCAGACCUAUCCCCUGUUCCAGAGCCACUGAGUGCAUCAUGUGAAAAGCCGGAUAAGAGGGCAGCAGUCAGUACACACACACACACAACACGCUUUAGCGCCACAAACAACCCUUCAAUAUAGACAUUACCAAAAGUUUGAUGCCGGUAAUUCCAAAACCACAGUACAGGGUGUGUUGGAAGGACACUUUUUUCUCUCUUUUUUUCACACUUAUGCAUACAAAUGGUUCCAACUCAGGUGACUUAUCUGAGUAAAAAGUAGACCAAUGUACUUGUCGUAUGUUCAGCUGAUUCUCCACUGGUUGGAUUGAGUUUGCGGUGAUAGUAUGUGUAGCUCUGCUCCAGCAGGGGGCACCAAAGCUACACACUCACCAUCUGUUGUGAAC